rnacentral:rRNA from 1 species
UGGGGAAUAUUGCACAAUGGGCGCAAGCCUGAUGCAGCCAUGCCGCGUGUGUGAAGAAGGCCUUCGGGUUGUAAAGCACUUUCAGCGGGGAGGAAGGCGAUAAGGUUAAUAACCUUGUCGAUUGACGUUACCCGCAGAAGAAGCACCGGCUAACUCCGUGCCAGCAGCCGCGGUAAUACGGAGGGUGCAAGCGUUAAUCGGAAUUACUGGGCGUAAAGCGCACGCAGGCGGUCUGUCAAGUCGGAUGUGAAAUCCCCGGGCUCAACCUGGGAACUGCAGUCGAAACUGGAAGGCUAGAGUCUUGUAGAGGGGGGUAGAAUUCCAGGUGUAGCGGUGAAAGGCGUUGAGAUCUGGAGGAAUACCGGUGGCGGAGGCGGCCCCCUGGACAAAGACUAACGAUCAGGUGCGAAAGCGUGGGGAGCAAACAGG